GACGGAGGAUGCAAGUGCUAUCCGGAAUUAUUGGGCGUAAAGGGUGCGUAGGUGGUCGGACAAGUCCCGUGUCAAAGCAUGGUGCUUAACGCCAUAAAGGCGUGGGAAACUGUCAGACUAGAGUACAGCAGGGGCAGGAGGAAUUCCCGGUGUAGCGGUGAAAUGCGUAGAUAUCGGGAAGAACACCAGUGGCGCAAGCGUUCUGCUGGGCUGUAACUGACACUGAGGCACGAAAGCUAGGGGAGCGAAAGGG
rnacentral:rRNA from 1 species